GAUGAACGCUGGCGGCGUGCUUAACACAUGCAAGUCGAACGGAAAGACCCUAAUUGUAGGGUACUCGUGUGGCGAACGGGUGAGUAACAAGUGGGUGAACUGCCCUGCACUUAGGCUGAAGUAUGGGAAACUAGGUCUAAUACAGGCUAGGAAACAUUUUUAAUGUGAUGGUUGGAAAGUUUUAUCGGUUUAGGAUGGUCUUGCGGCCUAUCAGCGUGCUGGUGGAGUAAUGGCCUACCAAGGCGGCGGCGGGUAGCCGGCCUGGGAGGGUGGACGGGCACAUUAGUACUGCGGUAGGGCCCAGACGCCUACGGGAGGCAGCGGGGGGAAGUAUGACGCAAUGGCGGCGAGCGUGAGACAGAGGCCCCGCGUGCGUGAUACUGUCCUUCGGGUUGUGAACUCAUUUCGCUGGGGAUGUGGAUAUUUUGACGGUACCUAAAUAAGAAGCACCGGCUAACUACGUG
rnacentral:rRNA from 1 species